CACUCCUGCGGGAGGCAGCAGUGGGGAAUAUUGCACAAUGGGCGCAAGCCUGAUGCAGCGACGCCGCGUGGGGGAUGAAGGCCUUCGGGUUGUAAACUCCUUUCGCUAGGGACGAAGCUUUUUUGUGACGGUACCUAGAUAAGAAGCACCGGCUAACUACGUGCCAGCAGCCGCGGUAAUACGUAGGGUGCGAGCGUUGUCCGGAAUUACCGGGCGUAAAGGGCUCGUAGGUGGUUUGUCGCGUCGUCUGUGAAAUUCUGGGGCUUAACUCCGGGCGUGCAGGCGAUACGGGCAUAACUUGAGUGCUGUAGGGGUAACUGGAAUUCCUGGUGUAGCGGUGAAAUGCGCAGAUAUCAGGAGGAACACCGAUGGCGAAGGCAGGUUACUGGGCAGUUACUGACGCUGAGGAGCGAAAGCAUGGGUAGCGAACAGGAUUAGAAACCCGAGUAGUCCC
rnacentral:rRNA from 1 species